rnacentral:tRNA from 2 species
GGAGAGGUGGCAGAGCGGUCGAAUGCGGCGGUCUCGAAAACCGUUACGCGUCGUUAGGCGUGUCGAGGGUUCAAAUCCCUCCCUCUCCG